AAACGGACAAGCAGCCACAGCCGGUGCUGUGAACAUAUGGAGUUUGACGGAUGAAAGACAAACAUCCCUUGGGGCCACAGGGCUUGAGUUGUGAAUGACCCUGGUAUUCAACAGGCAGCCAGACUAUAGAUCACCAGGACACAUGGUUAACCAUGAAGGAAGUCUGCCCAGAUGAGAAGCCAUCCAGCUGCUGCCGUGACAUAGGCAGGCUGACGCUUUGACCACCUGUAAUGGUGUGUUGGCAGAUGACUUCACGGCAGCUCUUGGAGGAAGCCAUGUGAAAUCCAUUGACGGCAGAAAAAAGGCUGGCCUGCCUCACCCGUCCGGAAACUAACAAGUAAGAGAAGAGGGUGUCAGAGCCUCCCGUUCUGAUCAUUACUGAAGCAGCAGAGAGGAAGCAUCGUCUCAGGUUCAGCAUAACAGGGAAGUGGUGGGUGUUUGCAUGGAGCACCAGCUUAAAUCUGGAGGUGUAAAUGUGCAAUUUACAUACAGGUUAGCAUGUUUUUUUUAAUGAAAAACUUUGAUCCCUUUGAGCAUCUGGACUGAAUGAUGAUAUAGCAGCUCAACUCAAGGCCUUUAUUGACUGCAAAGUGACUGAUGUGUUGAGACAAGCAAAAUGCAGGGGCUUCUGUUUGCAAUAACUGUCUUUCAUUUAUAUGAGAAACAAGGGGCUUUUGAAGUGGAAAAAACACCAUCUCUGCAAUGUGUUCAUUAAAAAAGUAAUUACACUUUUCUCCUGAAAGUUCACCAUCCGGGUACUGAGUCACAGCACUUUCAAGAAGGACCCCUGCACUGCACGUUUCCCCUUUACAAAGAGCUUCAAUAAGGACAAAGCACACGUUUCCCAUAAAUACCUGAAUUUGGCCAGUUAAUGAUGCUUGCACAAAUGGCCCCCAACCAAACUAAAUAGCCUCGAUUGCUGCUUAAUUUAUUGGAGACAAGCUCCAUACUGAGAUCAAACAAGUCGCUCUCGCUUGUAGCACCUUCACUGCCAUGAAUUUGCUGACCCCACAACCCUCUGCAUAUUUCUAUAAGGAGCAUGACAGGCCGGAAAAGAGUAGCCCCGAGGAAAGAAAGGGGGUUAGCUCACAUGAGGUUUGGGUUUGUAUGAUGUUUGUGUAGCCCAAUAAUUCAGCUAGUUAGGACAUAACCUGUACACACAUAGUAGCUUAGAAAAAGGCAGUGAGAAAGUCAGAUACCCUGAACAAGAAUGCACACAUGACUUACAGAUGCAUGGAUGUCAUGUCUGUCUUUGGUAAACACGUUGCUCUCCAAGAAUGCAAUCCUGAAAUAUUUCUACCUAAGAUAAAAAUACAUGCACGCAUGAACCUCUUGCAUGGCUUUUUUUUUUUUUUUUACUGGGACUAUCCCUCAGUCAAAGUGAGGCUUGAGUUUCAUUACGAGACCGCUUUAAUGACCAGGUUAAGGGCUUGGAAUUCCCACAACUUGAACAUAUGAGGAGGAUUUAGCUUGGCUCUUUUGUUCCUGACAUGAAACGGCACAUUGUUAACCAUGGCCUGAAGGCAGAGUGGACAGAGUGCAUGGCAACAGGUUAGGAUCACAAGACUACAACUUCUGCAGAAGUGUUUUUUUACAUUUCAUUAUUGGUCCAGCAUACCAACAGAAAAUGUUUCGAUCUCCAAUUGUUAAAAUAAAGGGACUGAAAAUGAUCUAUCUAUAUGAGGCUUUAGGACAGAAAGAAAUCUCAAACUUUAGUGUGACAAGAUUCCUAAGCCUAAAGACCUAGUUUAUAAAAGAGUGUAGUGAGAGAACAUCCACAAAACUUUUACAGAACUACAUGUAUACAUAGAUAAAAACGUACCAGUCACUCAGGUGGUGGUGAUUUACAUGAUUAAAUCAUGAGUAAAUCUAAUCCCAGACUGAACCAAUCAGAACAGUGCUGGGACAAAGUGUGACAAUAUUGACAUAUAAAAAAUAUAUAGGGAGAAACAUGAACAUGUUGAAUCUACUUCAUUACAACAAUACAGCUAAAUACAAUAUACACAUAAUAUCACACAGAUUAUACAAGCCAGCCAGGCUUUUCAUUUCAAGUUCAAAGGUAGGCUUGCUGAACAGAACAAGGUCUCCACAGUGAUGGUCAAAUGGCCUCAAUGACCAUCUCCUUUUGCGUUGCUUUUUGUAAACACAACAAUUUUCCUCUGCAUUGAGGAGCUGCAUAGCAGAAUGUGCAGCCACGUUCGCAGUCCACUUGUCCACGGUGAAUGUUCUUUUGGUGGCUUGUUCAACAAGGCAUGGUGCAGGACUAGACAUGUAUUCACAUUUGUAAGUUAGACAACAAGGAGGCUUUAGUAGGAAAGCUGAUGUGGGCUGUUGUUCGGAGUCUGUGGCUCUCGUGUUGUGUAGUAGUGCUGUCUGGCUCAGUGUGACCUGAUAUAUACUUGUGGUUUACAUCUAUUGACGUACUGCAUCCACUUUUUUCUAAUUCUUUAUAUACUUUUCUAUAUUCCACUGUAUAGAAAUUACCAUUUCACUAUUGUAGUUUUUGUGAUAAACGUAAAUUUAUUUAUUUAUUUUUUCACUAAUUCACUUAUUUUCUACGUCUUGUUAUUGUAAAUAGUACUAUUUUACCUGUUAUGGCGUAUCAGACAGUGUUACCCAGCACUGCUUUGGUGUAGAUUGACUCUUAAUCAUGCAGGUCACAACCACCUGAGUGAUGGAUGUGUAUAUAUGUAGUAUUUGUUCUGCUCUGUUUAGUUGACAAUGCUUGACAAAGAUAUCUGUCAGAUCAAAACUUUGCUCUUUGGGGCAGUACAGUGUGCAAACCUUUUGUUUGACCACAGCCUGGUUUCUAAAGGACAAAAUAUUCUGUGGCCUCCAGUCUUUUCUCAGUGUCACUAAAGACAAACCAUCACGAGGACUGGCCUUUCGAUGGUUAAAAAAAACACUCAAGGCUUCCUUCUGUAUUGCAAACGGCCGCGUGUUUGUCUGCAGUUAUUUGAUGUGGGUGAAUGUGUCAGGGUCACAGUCAGGAGGUCUCCACCCCACUAGCGAUGGACCCCAUUGUUCAUUGAAGACCCCCCUCUGUGUUAUUGAGACAUGCUAGUCAUCUCCAUUAUGAAACGUAAUUAGGUUGUUGUGCUUAUUAACUCGUAUUAUCGGAGGAGCCCUGAGAUGUCUGCAUGUGGCUGGUGGUAAGGGAUGGAUUUGCACAUGGCUGUAAAUUCAUGUUGGCAUCUUGUUCUCAGACUGGCAGGAAGAAACAGACACAAUGUACAUCCUCUAUAUAUGCAUGACCUUAUCUUCAUCCUUAAAGAACAACUACAAAAACAUUAAAUGGUUUUAGUAUUGCCACCUAAACCAAAUUAUAGCAUAUGUUUACAAAUUUAAUCAAAGUACAUUUUGAAAAUUAAUUUGCAUAGACUUGAAACUUGGUAUUCGAUCACAUUUGACAUAAAGUGCAUAUAAUAAUGUGAUUAUCCGCAGCUGUGUUGUACACUUUGUUCAUAUGGAACAGGAAAUCUGUAGUUAACAAGCAGGUUGUACACAUUCCUUUUAUUCAAGGGUCAGCUCCGCUUGCAUUGAAAUUAGUAAUCUGGGGGAAAAGUUUCAUUCAAAAUUAAGAAAAACCUAUUAAAGAUCUGGAGCUGGAAAAUGACAGUAUUGACAGAAAUGACAGUAUUUUUAACUUAUAAUUAUUGUUCCUUGGUAAUAACUUAAUUUCUUAUUUACUCUAUUGUGGUGCAUUCAAGGACAUUCCUUUCAAAGUAAUCUGCCAAAAAGCUCUGUAUUCAUGAGCUUUUCUGUUGGAAAAUGACAGCAAAUAAAUAAACAAAGAUUAAUUUAAGAGUUGGAUGACUUGCAAGAGACGGAUUAAAGCAAGAAUGGUCAUUAUUGAGGCGGCAGAGGCUGGUAUAUCCUGACUUUAGGUCACUAGUAUGUGCUAGUACAUUUUAAAAAACACUGGAUCCUACAUUUAGAAUAAUGCUACUUGUUAGCGUCCUUUUAUUAGAUACACUCGGCCUGGUGAAUCCACUUCUUUCAAACUCCACGUCCCCAGUUUGAAAUUCUGGGUUUUUGUUUAAUAGUACAGUCUCAAGCCCAAUCUGCGACAACCCAGAUGUUGUUUUAUCAAUUAUGAAAAAGGGACAUUUUGUUGUUGGAAAUGUUCUUGUUAAUGUUGAGUACAGGAAAUCUGUAGUUAACAUGCUAAAACGUAGAAAACGAUUAAUAUGAGUCCAACGUCUCGCAGCCAUUUCUGCUCUCAGUUUAAAUUCAGGCAAUCAAGUAGGCCUAAAGCAGAAAAUUACUCACUCAGACUCUCUGUUUGAUUGGAGUGAAUAACAGAGGGUCAUGUGUGGAGAGAUGCUGUUGAGCUUGUAACAAGUAUUGCGUUAAUAACAGGAGCCCUUCACUUCCUGUUGGGAUAAUUGGCACUGAAAGUACUGAAAUUGCUCCUGGUGUCACUGGUCUAUACCCUGGUGGUCCAAACAUACAAACAUCUGGCCAACUUCCACUAAGUUUAAAUUGUUUCUUUAUGUUCCUCCAUCCAAUUAAACGGAAACGUUUGUCUGUUUAGGUGCUUGUGAUUCUUUAUGCAUUUGCUUAAAUAAAAGACUGAUGGUACAAAA